AAGAAGUAGGUAGCUUAACCUUCGCGAGGGCGCUUACCACUUUGUGAUUCAUGACUGGGGUGAAGUCGUAACAAGGUAACCGUAGGGGAACCUGCGGUUGGAUCACCUCCUUACCUUAAAGAAGC
rnacentral:rRNA from 1 species